rnacentral:rRNA from 1 species
UACGUAGGGGGCAAGCGUUGUCCGGAUUUAUUGGGCGUAAAGAGCGUGUAGGCGGCUAGAUAGGUCCGUUGUGAAAACUGGAGGCUCAACCUCCAGCUGUCGAUGGAAACCAUCUGGCUAGAGUCCGGAAGAGGAGAGUGGAAUUCCUGGUGUAGCGGUGAAAUGCGCAGAUAUCAGGAAGAACACCCGUGGCGAAGGCGGCUCUCUGGGACGGUACUGACGCUGAGACGCGAAAGCGUGGGGAGCGAACAGG